rnacentral:lncRNA from 1 species
ACCUCCUAUCCUCCAGUGAAACGUCGCAUAGCAUGGGCUGGGCAGCUCCAGGUGCCUGCAGAUCCCCAGCACUGCCCUGCUGUGUCUCCUGCCCAUCUCCCACUGCUGCAGUCCCAGCAUCGCCCCAGCACUUGGAGCAGCUGGGCUCCUGCUGCAGCCAGCCCCGUGCCCCAUCCACCACUCCAGAAGCGACCCCUGAGCGCCUGGACCAGGAGUGCGACCGCCUCCAGCCCUCCAGAUGCUUUCAGUCGGCCCCCUGCAGAGAGGCCAGCCUGGACCACGAUCUCAGGCAAUGAUCCAAGUAGUGGGGCAGGAGCCCCUUUCCUGAGGAUUCAUAGCAUGGACUGCCUCCUGCAGGAAAAGGUGAUGCUGCGGAAAGGGUGAGGGAUGCAACUCAUGGUCCUGCCCUAGGGAAAAGUGUGGUGAGAGUGAUUGUAUGGGCUGGUAGAUGACAAAGGGUACAAAAUGUGUGUGUGUGUGUGACCAAGAGUCCCAGCAAUGUGCAGGGAACUGGGAACCACUGGGUAUGUGGAGGAUCUGGGCUCUCUGGAAAUUCAGGGUGAGGAGGGAGAAGGCAUCAGCUGUGUCUGAAAAGCAUGGGUGUCGCAGGGUGACUGCAGUGUGCUGUUAAUGAGAGAAGGCUAGCCUCAUCCAAAGCUGUGUGCUUUAUGGAAAUUACGCGGUUACCCUAUAGAAGCAGGCAGCCUGGUGUCUGUAACUGCAGAGUGACAGACGACACAUGGAACCUGCCCGCAGGAUGAAAAGCUGCUGAGACUGGAAAAGGAAAUCAGUCGUCUCUCUGGUUUUGAAGCAGAAUCAAAGCAGAAAGAUACAGUGAUAAGGAGUCUUCAGGACAAAAUUGCAGAGAUGGCCAAGACCAUGGCCCAGGCUGCUGCUAGAAGCGAUGUGGAGCUGACCCAAAAGCUUCUAACGUUUGACAGAGAAAUCAGAGCCAAAACAGAAGAGAUUAAAACCUUAAAGGAACAGAUCAGUGACUUGCAGAAAGAUUCAAGUGAAAUUUUUAGCCAUUCUCUUUAUGAAAGAGACCUGGAAAUUGGAAGCCUGAGAAAAGAAAGUGAGAAGCUAAAGAGGGAUCACGCUUUGACCACAGGUCUAGUGACCAGCCUGCAAAGGGAGAUUGCUGUGAAGGAGCAGAAAAUUCAGCAACUCAAGCAGGACGUGGAGAAAAUAAAGAAGGCAAACAGAGAAAAGGACAACCAGCUGGCUGUUGUGUCUGCCAAGGUUAGCACCCCAGUGACGUGCUCUGUAAGUGACAGUCUCAUACACGGGCUAGCAUGGAACAGUAAGAUCCAAAGGGUCUCGCUUCUCUCUGGUAAGGACUGGAGCAGCUAUUUCAGUUUCAAUCGCUGCCCAAAAUCUCUGUCCCCAGGGGAUUUUCCCUCAGCUGAAAAAAGGUUUUGGCAUGGAGCUUUCUUCUCCUCUCCCUUCCUGUACUUCUGGCAGGUACUUGAGAAGGUCAGGCAGAUCUGUGAGGAGAACCAACAAAGUCAGGAAAGAGAGAAGCGUCUCCAGGAGGAAAUAAGUGCCAGGCUCUCGAAGGAAAAGGAGGUGUCUGAAAAUGUCACGGUGUUCAAGGAAUCAGUGCGUGAGCUCCAGGCUUUCCUGGGGACCUCGUUCUGCAGCGACAGCUUGAGGAGGGAGCUGUGCAAGUUCGAGGCCGUGCUUGUGGACCCCUUGGUGUCGGACGUGCAGGCAGCUGUGGUGGAAAUCGCUCGCGUGGCCCUGUCGUGGCUGGAGGGAGCGGAGCAGCUGCUGGCAAGCGCAGGGUUGGACCUGCCCACCUCUGGCAAAGGUCGAUUCAGUCAGUGCCGAGGCUGA